AUGUCAGCUGGUGGAACAAUCAUGAACAGGACCGUUGAGGGUGCAAUUAUUCUCAUUGAGAGCAUUGCCUUCCACCAAAUGCAAUGGAGUUAUGAAAGGCCUAGUUCAAAUCUGAAGGUUGCAAGCUGUGUGCAAUCAGGAGCUGUUUGUUCCAUAAGUGAACAGAAAUCAUCCAUGGUGCCUAAUAUUCAAAACCAGCAUGUUUCAUUCCGGGGACAACAACAUUUCAGAACUGAAUUAGAGCCUCCAUAUAGAAACAUUGAUCUUACUUCAAUUAUCCUUGAUGAUGAUUAUGAUAUUUUCCAAGAUGAUGCAACCACUGUAGAUCAGAUGGAUACCACGGUAGCAGAUCGAAUACCUCAUGGCAAUGAAACUGUUCAAAACGAGUCAAAGUUGCAAGAAGAUGUUUAUGAGGAACCUACUCUGAUUGACGCUAAGUUGAGACAGCAAGAUAUGGAGAAAUUCACUUGUGUUAGUCAGCUAUGUGACUGGUGGAAUUUAGUCGUGCAACCAAUUGCCCACACUUGUGUUACAACUGUAUCUGGACUAUUUGUCAAGAAGAAAUCAUUAGCUCCACCAGUGGUUGCCUCUAUCACAGUUAGAGAGAGUUAUCUCAGAGAAGAAUAG
rnacentral:rRNA from 1 species